rnacentral:rRNA from 1 species
CGUCUCAGUUCAGAUUGCAGGCUGCAACUCGCCUGCAUGAAGUCGGAAUUGCUAGUAAUCGCAGAUCAGCAUGCUGCGGUGAAUACGUUCCCGGGCCUUGUACACACCGCCCGUCAAACCAUGAGAGUUGGCAACACCCGAAGUCGGUAGUCUAACCGCAAGGAGGACGCCGCCGAAGGUGGGGUUGAUGAUUAGGGUUAAGUCGUAACAAGGUACC